rnacentral:rRNA from 1 species
GUGGGGAAUCUUCCGCAAUGGACGAAAGUCUGACGGAGCAACGCCGCGUGAGUGAUGAAGGUCUUCGGAUUGUAAAGCUCUGUUAAUCGGGACGAAAGAGCCUAGUGUGAAUAAUGCUAGGAAGUGACGGUACCGGAAUAGAAAGCCACGGCUAACUACGUUCCAGCAGCCGCGGUAAUACGUAGGUGGCAAGCGUUGUCCGGAAUUAUUGGGCGUAAAGCGCGCGCAGGCGGAUCUGCCAGUCUGUCUUAAAAGUUCGGGGCUUAACACCGGUAUGGGAUGGAAACUACAGAUCUAGAGUAUCGGAGAGGAGAGUGGAAUUCCUAUUGUAGCGGUGAAAUGCGUAGAUAUUAGGAAGAACACCAGUGGCGAAGGCGACUUUCUGGACGAAAACUGACGCUGAGGCGCGAAAGCCAGGGGAGCGAACGGGAUUAGAUACCCCUGUAGUCC